GAUGAACGCUGGCGGCGUGCUUAACACAUGCAAGUCGAACGAACGACUAUUAACAGAACCUUUCGGGGCGAAGAAUAUAGAAGUUAGUGGCGGACGGGUGCGUAACGCGUGGGUAAUCUGCCUUUGUCAAAGGAAUAACUAUUCGAAAGAAUAGCUAAAACCGUAUAACAUAUUAAUAGGGCAUCCUAAUAAUAUCAAAACGAUAGUGGACAAAGAUGAGCCCGCGUCUGAUUAGCUAGUUGGUGAGAUAAAAGCCCACCAAGGCAACGAUCAGUAGCCGACCUGAGAGGGUGAACGGCCACAUUGGAACUGAGACACGGUCCAAACUCCUACGGGAGGCAGCAGUGGGGAAUAUUGCACAACGGGGGGAACCCUGAUGCAGCAACGCCGCGUGAGUGAAGAAGGCAUUCGUGUCGUAAAACUCUGUAGUAGGGGAAGAAAGAAAUGACAGUACCCUAAAAGAAAGCCCCGGCUAACUACGUGCCAGCAGCCGCGGUAAUACGUAGGGGGCAAGCGUUAUCCGGAAUAACUGGGCGUAAAGGGUGCGCAGGUGGUUUAACAAGUUAGUGGUGAAAGGCAUAGGCUCAACCAAUGUAAGCCAUUAAAACUGUUUAACUUGAGUGCAGGAGAGGAAAGUGGAAUUCCUAGUGUAGCGGUGAAAUGCGUAGAUAUUAGGAGGAAUACCAGUGGCGAAGGCGACUUUCUGGACUGCAACUGACACUGAGGCACGAAAGCGUGGGGAGCAAACAGG
rnacentral:rRNA from 1 species